GCUAUGAUGACUUUCCACUUCAUGCACGCGUUAGACUGCUGAUACUGGUGAUGCGAACUGGAGUCUGAGC
ensembl:snoRNA Snord104 small nucleolar RNA, C/D box 104